rnacentral:rRNA from 1 species
UGGGGAAUCUUGCACAAUGGGCGAAAGCCUGAUGCAGCCAUGCCGCGUGAGUGAAGAAGGCCCUAGGGUUGUAAAGCUCUUUCAGUCGUGAAGAUAAUGACGGUAGCGACAGAAGAAGCCCCGGCUAACUCCGUGCCAGCAGCCGCGGUAAUACGGAGGGGGCUAGCGUUGUCCGGAAUCACUGGGCGUAAAGCGCGCGUAGGCGGUUUGGUAAGUUAGAGGUGAAAUCCCGGAGCUCAACUCCGGAACUGCCUUUAAAACUGCCAAACUAGAGGCCGAGAGAGGAGAGUGGAAUUCCUAGUGUAGAGGUGAAAUUCGUAGAUAUUAGGAAGAACACCGGUGGCGAAGGCGGCUCUCUGGCUCGGUUCUGACGCUAAGGUGCGAAAGCGUGGGGAGCAAACAGGAUUAGAUACCCCCGUAGUCC